rnacentral:rRNA from 1 species
UAGGGAAUCUUCCACAAUGGGCGCAAGCCUGAUGGAGCAACACCGCGUGAGUGAAGAAGGGUUUCGGCUCGUAAAGCUCUGUUGUUAAAGAAGAACACGUAUGNGAGUAACUGUUCAUACGUUGACGGUAUUUAACCAGAAAGUCACGGCUAACUACGUGCCAG